rnacentral:lncRNA from 1 species
GACCCCGGUGGCCCCCACCCCAAAAUUUUGGGGUGGGGGGAUGGUCUGUUAAUAGCCUUUAAAAGAGGCACGGGAGAAGACCCCUAGGGGGGCGCCCGGGCACCGCAGGGACCCCACCACCCCUAUGGAGCUGUGCUGACCCUACAGGCACCCCUAAACCCCAUUGGGGCACUAUAGGGACCCCUAAACCCCAUUGGGACCCUAUGGAGCUGUGCUGACCCUAUAGGCACCCCUAAACCCUACUGGGGCCCUAUGGACCUGUGGUGACCCUAUAGGCACCCCUAAACCCCUUUGGGACCCUAUGGAGCUGUGGUGACCCUAUAGGCUCCCCUAAACCCCAUUAGGGCCCUAUAGGCUCCCCUAAACCCCACUGGGGCCCUAUGGAGCUGUGGUGACCCUGGAGGCCCUAUAGAGGCCCUAUGGAGCCCUAAGGAAGCCCUAUAGAGGUUCUCCUGCCCCCGGAGGCCCUAUAGAUGCCCUAUAGAGGCCCUGUGGAGUCCUAUGGAGGCCCUAUAGAGCCCUAUGGAGGUCCUCCUGCCCUAUGGAGAACCUAUGGAGGCCCUAUAGAGCCCUUAGGAUGCCCUAUAGAGGUUCUCCUGCCCCUGGAGGCCCUAUAGAUGCCCUAUAGAGGCCCUGUGGAGUCCUAUGGAGGCCCUAUAGAGCCCUAUGGAGGUCCUCCUGCCCUAUGGAGAACCUAUGGAGGCCCUAUAGAGCCCUUAGGAUGCCCUAUAGAGGUUCUCCUGCCCCUGGAGGCCCUGUGGAGGCCCUAUAGAGGCCCUAUGGAGGCCCUAUGGAGCCCUAUGGAGGUUCUCCUGCCCUACGGAGGCCCAAUAAAGCCCUAUAAAGCCCUAUAG